GCGCAGCGAGGUAAGCGAUGGCAAGGGAGGAGUUGGAGGCGUUGUAGGUAUAGUGGAGGUAGGCGCCGAGGUAUGGGAGGUCGAUGCAGUUGGCAUAGACCUUGUUGGUGAACUUUUGGGACGUGCAGGUGAGGCAGAUAGCCGGCGAGAGGAAGAGAGAAAGGAGCGAGAGGGAGAGGAGGAGAGAGAGAUUUGUCAUUGUAUUACGCAGAGAGUUUCGAGAGAGAGAGAGAGAGAGGCUGAAUGAUGUAGCUAUGUAAUUCAUCUAACCAUUCACAUCUAUAUAUAUGCUCUUUUCCUCGCACAAGACAUGCUUAGAGUUCGCAUUGCUUUGAUGAAGAGAAAGCUCACUUUUAAUUACAUCAACAUUUGUUAAAUAUUCCAUUAAUGUCAUGGAUCGAGUAAGACGUUGAAUAUUUUGCCUAACUAUGGCUCUGUAUAUUUCAUGAAAACUAAAAAUAAAAAUUGAAAAAUAUACAUUUUUCAAAUGAUUGUUAUAUUGUUUAAAAUAAUUAGUUGAUAAAAAAUAAUUUAUUAUUGAUAAUAAUUUAUGUCUAAAUAUUUUCAUAAGUGAUAAAAUAAUAUAUAUUUUAUUUUUAUAAACAAUACAAGCAAUUAACAUUGAAAAUAUCUUCCAAAUCAAUUAUUUUUUGCCAUGCAAAGGGAGCCUAUAUGUCAUGUUUAGUUGUGGUCCAUUCAUGUCCCGUCUACCAUGGUAACAAGCCGUCUACCAAAUCCGCAUAUAAAUGCCUUAGCUGAAACAAGGCUACAAGUGAGUUAUGUCUUUGAUAUAAUUUUCCAAAUAAAAAAAGUUAGAUCUCACUUGACAUAUUUUCAUUCAUCUUAGGCAAUCUAUAAUGACAACCGACACUGACGCAGGGCCAAUAUAACAUGAAAAUGAGCUUUUUCUAGAUAAAGUGAUUCGGAUGGGCCAGAGCCGGCUGGCAAAAUUAUGUACUUUCGCCAAAUGUGGAGAAGUAGAAAGACAGGAUAGAAAAAAUCCGAAGUGAAUUUUAUCAUUUAGGGCUUGUUUGGUAAAAACAUCAACUUUUCUUAUUUUCUUUACAAAAGCAAAUUCCAACGUAAGUUCUUCACAGUUUGCUUCUGUUGACCCCAAAUUAGUUUGAUUGAUCCUAAAAUCACCUCUAGUUGCGUUGAAGUAUAUUAUUGUUAUUAUUUGUUUCGAGUGUUUUUGAAGCGGCUAUAGAUUCGCCCAUUUUUCCUCGAGCUACAAGGGCUGGGUGAGCGAACAUGGGGUAUGGGAGCCCGGAUGCUUGCACGGAGAGACCAAUCCAUUUCGGCCGAUGUUCGGGCAGCUGGAUAAUCGUGUGGAUGCCCAAAAGGUAUAAUAGUAAAAUAUGAGCGGUUUAAACGGGUAAUUAAGCUUGAGCGGUACAGAUAGGACACUCUCUUGCUAGAAAUUAAGACCCACAAACACAUCCAAGCUAUCGCCCCCGAUGAUGCGUUUGAUAAUAUUUUUGUUUCGAAGAAUAAUGUAUUUUCAAAAAUAAUGUUUUUUUUUUGUGAGAGGUAAUUAUAAUAAGCUUUAACCAAUAAUUACAAACAAAUGGCACUAAAACAUACACUCAUAAUGAACAAAGGCAUAAUGAGUGGAAGGGUGCCGAAAAGAAAAAAGAAGGCCAACAAGGCAAAAGCUACACGGCACAGUUAGCACAACGGCAGCCACAUCCACAAGAAGGACCAAAAACAAAAGAAGACGACUAGCCAGUCAAACAAUGGCAACCCAAGCCCAAAAGCCCCACACAAAACGGCAGAUCGGAUCCCCUUGGCGAAGGCCAACGCCACUAAGGAAGAACCCAUGAAGUUCUCCAUUCAAAGAAAUCGAAAACUUAGGAGUGUGAACACAUACCAUAAUGAUCCGAACAAAAUGAUCCGGGAAGUCAAAAGCACGAAGAACCAGCUUAAGAAAGUCCAAGUCCACCGUAUCAUAAGCUUUAUGAAAGUCCACCUUGAUCGUACACUUAGGCUUGUAUGGAUCAAGGUGGAAACCAGCAAAUAACUUCUGGGCAAAAAGAAUGUUAUCUAUAAUUCGCCUACCUUUGACGAAAACAUUUUGAUAAGGGCUGAUAACAUCAGUAAGGACUGCAAUAAUUCGGUUAGCUAAAACCUUAGUAAUGCAUUUGUAGAUAGUAUUACAACAGGCAAUAGGCCUGUAAUCAUUGACAUACAUAGCAUUAGGAACUUUCGGGAUCAACACUAAGAUGGUAUUAUUGAUCUCCUUGAGAAGUCUUCCCGUGGUAAGGAAGUCCUUGACCGCUUCAAUGACCAACGGCCCUACCAUCUCCCAAUUAUGCUUGAAGAACUCGACACCAAAACCAUCUAGCCCUGGAGCCUUCCCCCGAGCAAGGGAGAACAAAGUUUCUUGAAUCUUCGUAUCAAAGAAAGGACGAGAGAAACAAAAAAACUAACUUGUUCCUUGCUGAGAGGGCACCGUAUGACCUCCCAAAGAUCCAGCAAGGAGGGGCUGGAAGACAAGGGGCGCAGUGCCAAUAGCUCUUGAAAAUGAGAGACGAAUGUAUGUAGCACCAAGCUUGGAUCCGAUAUUAAAACACUAGAAGAAUCCGUAACAAAAAGAAUCAUGUUCCUCAGCUGUCUCCUAAUAACGGAAUGGUGAAAGAAUUUGGUAUUCUAGUCACAUUCCUUGAGCCACCUAAUCUUGGACUUCUGCCUGAAGAAGGACUCCUCCUAAUUCCUCAACUCCAAAAAAGUCCUCUAAUGAGUUUUCUCCAAAUCUGCAAGAAGCUCACUAGUCGAAUCUUGCUGAAGGCCAACUUGGGCGAAUCUAAGAGCAUCCCUUGUAGCAGUAACCCUCUUAGAGAUAUUAGAGAAAGAUUCUCAGUUGAGUUGCUUCAAACGGCUUUUAAAGGUCUUCACCUGCCUGUACAUAGGAACCCCUUCACCCAGACUUUCCCAAACUUAUGAGACAGUGUUGAGGAAUGACGUGCUUAGUCCAGAAAUCGAAGAACUUAAAAGAUUUCCUUGGGAACACCGGCUGCAUCACUCUAACCACCAUAGGAGUGUGAUCAGAAAUGCUAGGUGCAAGAACAGACGCUUCCAAAUAAGAGAACUCAUGACUCCAUUUAGCAUUCACAAGUACUCGAUCAAUCUUCCUAGCCUUGCGAUUAACCCCCGAGGAAGUAGAUUAAGUAAAAUGAAAGCCAACAUACCUCAGGUCCUCUAACUCCUAUUGAAUCAAACAAUGAUUGAAAUCAUCAAAGCAAGGAAUCCAUGUGUCAGAGCUACCAAUUCGAUCAGAGAGAUCUCCGGACAGCAUUGAAAUCACCCACCACUAGCCAAGCCACAUCCCAACAUAAAACAUUUCUCUGAAUAAGAUCGGCCUAUAACAGCCUUCUAAUUACAAAGGUAUGUUUAGCAUAUACCACCAAGACACAUAAGCAAAUAGUAAACAUGAUAAACUUCAAAUUACCAUGAAUUGCUUAGGUAUUGAAAGAAAUCACUUCAAAAUUCACUAAAGAAUGGUUCCAGCCAACCCAAAUCCUACUCAUAUGAGAUAAAUCAUAAUUGACCACUCAAUUCCAACCCGACAACAGUCUGGUAGAGAUGGAGUCAAAUCGAUAAUCCGGAACUUUAGUUUCCAACAAACCGAUUAGACAAAACCCAUUAGAAGACACGAGGUUCCUAACUUCUGCUUACCUUAGAGGGUCAAGAGGACCUCUCACAUUCCAAAUACCAAUAUACAUACAUACUUAUAUAUAUAUAAACAGCAAAGGGAGGAAUGGAGGACCUACCUCCGCCUAUUCGGCUUUCACCAUAAGGCUGCCGAAGUAGCUGAAGUCACGACAGGAGAAGGGGCUAGAUCAAGGGCCAUAAGCUUCUCUUAGAUGGUCUCGACCUUCCUUGAAAUAGUAGGAGCCUUCAAGGAUGAGGCAGGUGAGAGCAAGUCAUCAUCAGAGCUAAAAAAGCUAUCUGAGAGCACUGAGUCCCCAUCGGCACCAAGAAGACCGAAAUUGGAGGCUUCAGUCUAGUCCUUGUCCUUCGCAAAAGGGGAGUUAGGAACCUCCAACAACGAGCUAGGUCGCUUCUCCAACGGGAUAGGAGGAGGGGACAUUGGCCUUGACGUACUCACACUCCUCAAAGACUUCCGAACUGUGGAUAGGGGAAGACCUUUGUCAGUAGAGGAGACCUUGAGCUUCAUCAAGCUGCACAUUUCGCUAGAGGAAGGCAACUAGGGUGAGGGACUAUCCUUCGAUUGCAAGGACUUCUUUUUUUUCCCCUUCACUUGAUUCCAACCAUGUUGCGAAGCCUCCGGGUUCUCCACCACAACCGGAGUCAGUUCGGGAGCCUAAACAAGGGCAGGAGGGUCGGAGGUGAGUUGAACCGGCGCUCUACUCUGUCCGUAUUGUCAACGACAACAGCAUUCUCGCAUCUAUGCUCGAAAGUGCCACAUGAAGGACAUUCAGCUAGCUUCCAUUCAAAUUCAAUUACGAUUUAGCGCGAGACCCUAUUCAAGACCACAUCAAUGGUGAAGCAUCUAGGUUGAUUGGCAUAGAUUUCAACAUAAACCCUUGCAAAGGAUAGCACCUUUGUAUGCUCCGUGCAUUGGUCAACAUAGAAGGGCUUUCCAACUGCACUUGCAAUGCCACCAAUAGCUGGAGCUGACCAAAGAUCAAGGGGAAGGUUGUUCAACCUAAUCCAAACCAGAACGGUAGUUUGCUUGUCCUUCUUUAAAUCCAUAAGUGACUGCUAUUACUACAAAAUGAGAGAAACCCUCACCACCAUGAGGAGUCCAUCUUCGAGGAUCUUACGCCGGAACACCAUGUCCGGGAUAUGGAAGAAGAAGAAACCUUGAUUAUCCGCCAUCACUUCUACAAGCUUCAAGCCCUAAGUCUGCAUCAAAGCUUGUUCCGUGAGUUUGAAUAGAAGCUUAUUCUCAACAUAAUAACCAAUAAGGCACUCAUGCCACUUGGGAUCGAAUGCCUCCAAAACUUCCUCCAUAAGGUGAACAAUUGGCUUGCCAUCCACAAAAGUAGGAGGGGAGUAGAUAAGGUCGUAGCCCUUUGUAGCUAGCUUCGCCACAUUGGCCCAAGUGUGGGUGGGAGAAGGCUUCGGGUUUUCUUAUUGCCGAAGAGGGCCACUCGGUCGCUUGGAGGAGGACCGAACACGACUCCGGCCCCUAGAAAGACCUGAACGGGAAGGAGCCCUAGGGCCACCUUCUGUUUGCCAAACUAAACUGCAGGGCCAACCGUAGAAGGGCUGGACUAACCUAGAGCAAAGGGGUUAUGCCUCAAAGAGGCAUCCGCAACAAGUUAGGCCUCGCGGGAAGUACCAGACAAACCACUCAUGGUAGUGGCCAUAAGACAAACACCUGGUAUGCAACCCAAACUCUACCACAGAAAAAGCCAUCAAUAGAAGAGAGGCAUACCAAGGAGGGCUUCAGCGGCACCAAGGGGAGGAAGACGCGGGACGCUCCUGCUCUGAGAAGGCCCAGCAGACACGAAUGAGGCAACACCAGCAAGGACGAAAUGAGUACCAAUAGAACGAACUUGCAACUAGAGCCCGAAGGAAGAAGGUCCAAAAUGGGGGAAGAGCUUCAACUGGGGUAAGAAUGGGACCAAGGACACCAAACCUAUGAAGCUUGGCCCCCCUUGAAAUUCCAACACCCACAGGCGAACAACAGCAUACGAGUAGGAGCAAAUCGCGAACUCUUGAGUAGCUGAGAUUUGAACUUGUGGGCUGAGAUAGGAGGAGCGGCUUAGAGGAGCAGGGGAGGUAAGGUAGGUGACCCUUCCCUCCAAAGCUCGGGCGCAACGACCCGCUAAGCCCCCCACACCGAGCAUAAAUCAGACCAUAAGAGCAUAAUGCGCGCGGCUCCUAGGGAUAGCGAGAUCUCGAGCUGUAGACCAACCCAGACAAAUCCGUUCAGUGGAAAAAGGAAGAGGGAGGUCCAAGGAGCCUACCCUCCAAAUUUAAGCUAAAACGGAUGGCUAGAACUCCAAGAAUGAGCAGCAACCAGUCGAAUGAACAGUAACUCGGGAACCUAGUAGAGAGAAUGCCUGUGAACAGUACCCGCGAUUCGGAAAUAAUAUUUUUAUAUUUCUAGUUCUUGAAACAAUUUAUGAAUAAAAGAAUAUGUUUGGUAACUAUACAAAAUUUCUAAUCUCGGAAUAGAAAAAUAAUUGGAAUGUGUUUGGUACGACCUACAAUUUUUCUUUUUUAUAAUGUAGAAUUUCUUUUAAUUUUUUUAGAUUUUUCUUUUUUCCUUCUCUUCUUCUUCUUGCUCCUCCUUUAGCGAGUAGUGGUAAUGGCGAUCUGCAAUUGGCAGCGACAGGGGGCAGAGAGGGGUGGCUAACGGGGGAGGGGGGGGGAGAAAAAAAGCAUAAAAGGAAAAAAAAAGAAAAAAAGACUUAUUUCUAGAAAUUGUUCUUGGAGUGAGAAGUUACUUUCUUUAAAUUGUUGUUUCUAUUCCAAAUCUAUUCAUUGGCUACUUUUCUAUUUCAGAGAAUAGAAAAAUUAGUUGACAUUAUCAAAUAAAUUUAUAUUUUUUCUAUUUUAGGAAACAAAAGAACAAAAAAAAAAUCAAGGAUUAAAAAUGUUACUAUGUAGGCCCUCAGUUGACUAUUAACUGUUUUAGUUCAUAUCAAAAUCAAAUGUAAUCUCCAGCUUGCACUAAAAUCAAAACACAAUCAAAAUAUUUACAUUAUAAGCAAUCUAAGAUUGAUUCCAUCGUUGUUUCCAACUUGCACCAAAAUUGGAGCACAAUCAGAAUAUUUGAAUGAUUAGCAAUUCAAGAUUGAUUCCAUAUCUCUACUAGUGGUUACUGCUCCUGCAGUCAAUAUUUAUUACUUAAGAUUCUUUCUAAAGUGUAUGUAUAUAGAAGCCAUCACUAAUUGGAAAAUUCACAAUUUUGAAAUCAAAAUAUACAAUUCUUAUAUGUUAUCUCUACUUUUUGCAAUUAUUCAUCGUUGUCGCAUUCCUUCUCUUUUCUCGCGUUCUCUUUUCUCACUGAUGGUAGCCCCCUUUUAUUUCUUAUAUUGGCAUCAAAGCAGAAAAGGAGAAAGCCGAUCGAUCCAAAUAUGAAUGAAUGUAAUUCCUACUAUUCUAAACAAACUACCAAUCAACAACGUCAACCUCCCACUACAAACAACAUCACACCCAUAACACUUGCAGUUGGUAUUUCCGGUAUUAUCUCUUCUCCAUCCUUCAGUGAACACCUAAAUGAAACAAAUUAUGUGACUUGGCACACACAAAUCCUACCAUAUUUUCAAGACUUUGAAUUAAUUUCUAUAGUAUAUGGCACCAAACUAGCAUUACCCAUUCACAUUUCUCAAUCAAAUCCACGAAAUAUUGGUCAAACCAUACUCACUCCCAACCCCACCUACAAAGGCUAGUUCAUUGGAGAUUAGACAGCCUUGGUUGGAUCCUAAGUACUACAACAACUUCCAUAGUAGCACAAUCAAUCGACCACUAAAAUUUUGUAUUAGUUUUGUCUUGUAUGGAUGACGCAUACACUUCUCAAUCUAGUGCCCGCUCCCUUCCCUUCAAAUACAACUCCAAUCCAUGAUAAAAAGUAAUCAAAGUGUGAUCGAACAUUUACAAGAGGCUACCCAAAUUGCCGAUCAAUUGCUAGCUAUUGGGGAAACUAUUUCUAUUGAAGAAUACCAAACCCACCUCUUUUGUAGUUUUGGUUUAGAAUUCUCCACUGUGGUCACUGUCCUCUUAGCCAUUUUGCCUCAUACCAAGUCCUCCACUCUCUCUAGAAAUGAGCUACACAAUUUAUUAUUGUUUCAUGAGGGCCGUUUAAAGCUUUUGGCCUUAGAUGUUGGUCAGAUAUCGCUAUUUGUAUUUGUUGUCUAUGGUAAAACACCAACUUUUGCACUUUUGAGGCAAAAUCAACAAUUUUCGGGCUCAUAAUCAUGCCAAUUAGCAUCCACCCAUGGCUCGCCAUCUACUAGUCUUUUAUUUAUCCUGUCAUCAUAGGUUACAUAUUAGUCAUCGAGAAGCUUCUUUUUGUCAUAUUUGCCAUUGUUGAGGUUACUAUGUUACAACCUGUCGAGAAUGAUAUAAUUCUCAAUUUGUGGCCACACCUCCUCCUCAAGCUCAUUAUGGUGCACAUGCUUCACAAAACCAUUAUCAUACUCCUAUUGACCCACAUAAAUAUUUUGUCCUUUCUCCAUCUCCUCAGACAUAUUAUAGCUCCUUACCACCACGUAUAGUUCAAUACCCCUUAGUUCCUCCGCCUUAACCUCCUUCUACCCAUCCUACUCUAGUUUGUUCCUAACUUCGAUACUACCCAUCAUAUCAUUAAUGGUACCGUUGGUCGUACUAAUGUAACUCCUUUUACAAACUCACAAUAAUUCAUUAUACGUGAUGGCAUCUCACUUCCUAUCACUCAUACCAGUACUUUUGUGUCUUCCACGUCUCUUUCCUUUUCCUUAUCUUUAAGAAUGUGUUAGUUAUUCCUAAUAUCUCCAAGAAUCUAUUAUUUGUUUCUCAAUUUUCCUUUGAUGAUAACUGUGUUUUCUUAUUUCACUCUACAUGUUUUCUCAUGGUGUGCUUAUGUACUAGUCAAAUCCUUCUUAGAGACAGCCUUAAUUCCGACCUCUACUAUGCCUUGCUCUUUAGCUCAGCAACUUCCCUAUCUACUUUUGUGUCUUUUCACGCCAAUUUAGUCACUACUUGGCAUUACCGUUUGGAACAUGCCUCCUUAGAUAUUGUAGUUUGUUUUUUGAAUUUCACAAAAACCAAUUUUUCUCAUUCUCCCUCUUCCAUAUGUAUGACAUCCACUUUUAGUAAAAGCUGUCACUCUUCUCACCCUACUACCCAAUCUAGGCCUACUUCCCCUAUUCAACUGUUUCAUUUAGAUGUUUGGGGUCCAUUGCUUGUGACCUCUCUUUCUGGUUAAUAAUAUUACAUCUGUUUUAUUGAUGAUUCUUUUCAAUUCUCUUGCCUCUAUGCUUUCACAUUUCAAGAUCGCUCAUCAUGCUCUUGUGGAGACUCAAAGUCGGUGUAAAUUUAAGAUGAUUUAGUGUAAUAGAGCACCUUAGUUCUUAUCCUCUGCCAUGCGCUCUCACCUUCUUGGUCAUGAUAUUCAUUAGCACAUUUCUUGUCCUUACUCUCCUCUCCAAUAUAGGAUUGUUGAAUGCAAACAUCGACAUAUAGUGAACAUUGGCCUUGUUCUCAUGACCUAGACUACUUUUCCUUCUCAUCUUUGAGAAUUUGCCUUCGCGAUUGCAAUUCACCCAAUCAAUUGGCUUUCAACUCCUAUUCUAGACAAUUUGUCUCCCUAGCAGGUUGGUUUCUGUAUCACUUUUGAUAUAUCUCACAUAUGAGUGUUUGAAUGCAUAAUAUUUCCAUACUUACAAUCAUAUGCCCCACACAAGCUGACUGUUGAGUAUGUCUUGAAUAUUUAUUUUUAUUUUUAUUUUUAUGGGCUAGAGCCAACAUUAGGGUUUAGAGGCAAUAUAAAUAUAUCUUUUCUCAAAUUAUUAGAUGAAGAAGUCAAGAUAGAAAAAGUCUUAGUUUUUGAUAGCCGCCUUUUGUAAUCCUUGAAAUUCUAUAGUGGAUUUUGUUUCUCCUCCUCUCGUGGUUUUUCCCACAAGGAUUUUCAUGUAAAUUAGGUGUUCUUUUAUUAUUCUCAGUUUCAAUUCUGUUUUAGUUUAUGCAUCUGUCAUAACAAACCGGUAUCAGAGCCUUAGGGGUUUUCUCUAUUUUAUAGUUAUGACUUCAAGUUCAACAACAAUAUUUGAUAUUGAGAAGUUCGAUGGGAGCGGCAAUUUCAACCUAUGGCAAAUUUAUAUGUUGGCUACUCUUACGUAACAGGGUUUGAAGAAAAACUUUGUUUGGAAAAAAGGGAAGAAACCAGAAAGAACAUUAGAUGAAACAUAGGAAGAAUUGGAUAAAAGAGCCAUGUUUGCUAUUCAAUUAUGCCUCACGAAUGAAGUUCUGUAAGAGGUAUGAGAUCAGAAAACAACUACAAGUUUAUGGAAUAAAUUGGAGAGUAUUUGUUUGACAAAAUCACUCACAAUCGGUUAAGGCUCAAGUAACGACUCUUCGGUAUUCAUAUAGCUAAAGGUGUUUAUCUUAAAACUCAUAUUUCUAAAUUCAAUGCUAUUAUCUUUGGAUUAAGAAGUAUUGAUGUUAAUGUUGAAGAUAAGGAUUAGGCUCUCUUAUUGUUAGUUUCACUACCUUCCUCUUAUAAGAAUUUUAGAGAAACCAUGAUUGUUACUAGAGAAACUAUUGAUGUUGAAGAUGUUAAGACUAGUCUUCUAAAUAAGCAGAAACUAGAUACACAAUUAACUUUUGAAGGUAGAAAUGAUCAUAGGGCUAAUUUCAUUGCUAGAGGAAGGUCCGUUGAAAAAAGUAAUGGCAGUAGGUCCCCAUCAAAAUCAAAGCAUACGGAUUUGAUUUUCAAUUAUUGUAAGUUUAAGGGGCAUAUCAAGAUAAAUUCUCUGAAAUAUAAGGCAAAACAAUAAAGAGAAAAUAACAUGAAUCAGCUAAACUAAGGGAACGCAAAUCGGUGGAACAAUCAGAAUUACAAAUUAGGCGGAAUUAGAGAAAUGAAAAUCUCGCUCAAGCUGGUGUUUUUUUUUUCUUUUUUCUUUUUUUUUUUGGUAAGAACGCUCAAGCUGGCGUUACUGACUAAGAAAACAAAGAUUGGUUAUUGGUUGCAGAUGAUAAAGAUAAAUUCAAGGAUAGGUGGAUUCUUAAUUCAGGUUGUUCGUCCCACAUGUACCCUAAUUGUGACUAGUUCCCCACGUAUAAAGAAUUUAACGGUGGAGUUAUUCUAAUAGAAAACAAUGCUAAAUGCAAAGCAGUUGGGAUUGGGACUGUCAACAUUAAGAUGUACAAUAGCAUUGUCGGGGCUUUGGAUGAUGUCAGGCACUUUCUUGAUUUGAAGAAGAACCUCGUCUCUUUAAGUACACUUGAUGCUAAUGGUUGUAAGUUUACAACUGAAAGUAGAGUUAUGAAGAUUAUGAGAGGUUCACUUCUAUUGAUGAAAGGACUAAAAAUCGACACCUUGUAUUGGCUACAAGGCACUAUAGCUAUUGAUUUAGUUGCAGUCUCAUUUGCUAUGACGGAAUCAGACAACACUAAAUGAUGGCACAUGAAAUUAAGCCAUAUGAAUAUUAGAAGGAUGGAGGAGCUAAGUAAGAAAGGUCUUCUGUGUGGUCAGAAAAUUGGAAAACUAGAUUCUUUGAGCAUUGUGUCUUUGGAAAACAUAAAAGGAUCAGUUUCAAAAUAGGAAUCCACAUAACGAAGGGCACUUUAGAUUAUCUUCACUCUUUGGGGCCCACGAAAGGUCCUUUGAAAGGCCUUGGUUUGAGAUAUUUACUGAUUUAAUUAAUAAUUUUUCAAGAAAUGUUUGGGUUUAUUUUCUAAAACAGAAAAGUGAUGUUUUUGUUAUAUCUAAACAAUGGAAAACAUUAAUUAAGAAGCAAACUAGUAAAAAGAUUAAGCGAUUGAGAGUAGAUAAUGGGCUGAAAUUUUAUGGAUGUGAGUUUAAUGAGUUUUGCAAAAUUGAAGGCACUACGAGGCAUCAUACUAUAAUGAACACACCACAGCAUACGGUAUUGCAAAACACAUGAAUAGAACCUUAUUAUAAAGGACUAGGUGCCUAUUGUCUAACACUAGUUUAGGCAUGGAGUUUUGGGCUAAAGCAGUCAAUAUAGCUACCUGGUUGAUAAAUCGUUCUUCUUGUGCAUCUAUUGAGUGCAUGAUACUUGAGGAAGUAUGAUUAGGUAAACUUGUUGAUUAUUCUUCUCUUUGAGUAUUUGGAUGUCCAACAUAUGCACAUGUUAGUGAACGCAAAUUAGAGCAUUGAGUAAGAAAAUUUUAUUUUUCUUGAUUAUGCUUCUGGUGUAAAAGGUUAUAGACUUUGAUAUGCUAAUUCAUCUAAGAUUAUUAUAGUUGAAAUGUUACUUUUCAUUAAUCUGCUAUGCUUCAUCCUAAGAAAGAAUCAUCUAUUUCUUGUGAUGAAAAUUUGGACAAUGUUGCAAAGAAAGUAGAGCUUGAAGUAAUUUCUUCGCAACCAAUUCAAGCAUCUACUGAUAAUAUUGAAUCAGAAAAACUUGAAGAAGAACAUCAUUCUAUUGCUAGAGAUAGACCAAGAAGGACGGUGAAGCCUCCACAAAAAUAUGGGUUCUCAAAUUUUGUUACUUAUGCUCUUUCUAUUGCAGAGUUAAUAGAGUAUAGUAAGUCUAAAAGCUACAAAGAAGCCAUAUUUUCAAAAGAUUUAGCAAAGUGGUUAGUUACUGUGAACGAAGAGAUGAAAUCUCUUGAAAUGGGAGCUCACCAAGCCACCAAAAGAAAAGAAAAUUGUGGGUUGUAAAUGCAUUUUCAAAAGAAAUGAAGGUAAUCCUAGAGUUGAAGACAUCAGACUCAAAGCCCGUCUAGUUGCUAAAGGUUAUAGUCAGAUUGAGGGAGUUGAUUUUAAUUAUGUGUUCUCAAUUAUCAUUAAACACAGCUCUAUUCGGGUCUUGCAUUAGUUGCUAUGCAUAAUUUAGAGUUGGAAAAACUUGGUGUUAAAAUAGCUUUCUUGCAUGGUGAACUUGAAGAGAAAAUUUAUAUGGGUCAACCAAAGAGUUUUCAAUUUGAAGAUAAGGAAAAUCAUAUUUAUCUAUCGAAAAAGUUUAUAUAUGACUUGAAGCAAUCGUUUAGACAGUGAUAUAAAAGGUUUGAUUCAUUUAUGGUGCAAAUUGGCUAUUGUAGGAAUAAAUAUGAUAUAUGUGUAUAUUUGCACAAACUUCCGAGUGGCUCUUUUACUUAUCUGUUAUUAUAUGUUGAUUGCGAUAAAAGAUAAAUCUGAUAUAUAGAAUUUGAAGGCAUGAUUGACUGCUAAAUUUGAGAUGAAGGAUUUAGGUGCAAUAAAAUAAAAUAAAAAUCCUAGGCAUGGAAAUUCGAAGAAAUCAAAAAAUGGGAAAAUUAUAUCUCUCCCAAAAAAGUUACAUUGAGAAUGUGUUAGAUCGUUUUGGCAUGAAAGAUGCCAAACUAGUAAAUACUCAUUUUGCUGCUCAUUUUAGAUUAUCAGCUAAUGAGGACAUAAAAUAUAGGUCACAAGUUCCAUACUUUAGUGCAAUUGGUAGCCUUAUGUAUGCCUUGAUUUGUACUCGAUCCGACAUUUCACAUGCUAUUAGCGUAGUAAGCAGAUAUUUAUUAUGCCCAGGCAAAGUUCACUAGCAAGCUAUGAAGUGGAUUUUGAAUAAUUUGAAGGGUAUUUUUUAUUUUGGUUUAGAGUUUGGGAAAACACAUUUUGACAAGAUCUUUUGAUUAUGAUUAUGCCGGUGACCUUGAUAAGGGGAGAUCUUUGACUGGGUAUAUCUUUACUAUUGGAGGUUGUGCAAUCAGUUGGAAAGCUACUUUGUAACAUGUUGUUACUUUGUCUACUACAGAAGCAGAGUAUAUGGCUAUUGCGGAGGUAGCUAAAGAGACCUUAUGAUUAAAAGGUUUGUUAAAGAGCUCAAUGUGGAUCGUGGUGUGAUUGUUGUUCAUUGUGAUAGUUAGAGUGCUAUACAUAUUACUAAAGAUUAGAUGUUUCAUGAGAGAAUAAAGCACAUUGAUGUACGGUAUUAUUUUAUUCAAGACAUUUUUGACAAUGGCUAUUUAAGGUAUUGGAGAUUGGUACAGAAAACAAUCAAGUUGAUAUGUUGAUGAAGCCUUUGCCUAUUGCCAAAUUCAAGCAUUACUUGGAUUUGAUUGAUGUUUGCUGCAAUUGAGUUUUACUCUAAUGGGAAGAAAAGAUUAUUUAUUACUUACAUGGAAUUCAAGCAACGGUGGAGAUUUGUUGAGUAUGUCUUGAAUUUUUUUAUUUUUUUUUUUUGGGCUUGAGCCAACGUUAAGGUUUGGGGGCAAUAUAAAUAUUGCUUUUCUCAAAUUAUUAGGUGAAGUUGAGACAAAAAAAAAAAAAAAUCUUAGUUUUUGAUAGCUGCUUUUUGUAAUCUUUAAAUUUUUAUAAUGGAUUUUGCUUCUCCUCCCCAUGUGGUUUUUUUGCAAGGGUUUUCAUGUGAAUCCAAUGUUCUUUUAUUCUUUUUAGUUUCAUUUUCGUUUUAGUUUCUGCAACUACCAUAAUACUAACUCCUCGCUCUCAAGCCUACAUCUUUCUUGGUUAACCCUCCAAGCUACUGAUGCUAUUGUCCUUAGACCCAAUUGUACCUACAUCACUGUUGAUGCUAUCUUUAAUAAGACCAUGUUUCCAUUUCAACAAACUGCACUUGUGUCUCCACCAUCACCACCUGCUUCACACCAAUCUACUUACCAUUGCCGUCACUGCUAAUUGUUCCAAGCUCUCAUGGUCACUAGACUCCACUUCACUAGCUCUACCAUUCCUGCCUUCAUCCUCACCAUCUCCAACUGAAGUUCCUAAGUCAUAGUCUCCACCAUCAUCAGCAACAUCUUCACAAGCAUCUACUCACUAUAUGGUUAUUCAUCUGUGCUAGAACCAUCUCUCACACAAUCCCUAAUAGAAAUCAGACUUUUGCUCUUGCGGCCUCUGGUCAUCCUUAUAGUGAGCUUGGUUGUUUUUCUCAAGUACAAUGAGAUUUAAAACGGCAAGCUACUAUGACCACUAAGUACAUUGCACUUAUCCAAAAUAAUACUUGGGAAUUGGUUCGGCUACCUUCUUAUGCUCACCUUAUUUGCUGCAUAUAGGAGCAGAGCCUUCAUGGUCAAACUUCGCUCCGAUGGUACACUAAAACGCUAUAAAGCCAACUUGUUGCUAAGGGAUUUCAUCAAUAAGCUAGCAUUCAUUGUAGCAAGAUUAAGCCCAAUGGCCAAAUCAAUCACCAUCGGCAGUGCUUUCGCACUUGGUUACUCCCAAGAAUAAUCUAUCAAUGUCUCUAAUGCCUUUCUCCAUGGAUACUUAUCCGAAGAGGUGUAUAUGGUACAAUUAUUUGUUGACACCAAACGACCUUAGCACAUUUGCCAUCUCCUUCCUUGUGCUUGGCAUCAGCAGCUUAGCUCCUAACUCACUAACAUUGAUUUUUUUAUCUCAACUGCUAACUCAUCCUUAUCCAUUCAUCAUUUUACAUCCCACACCAUCUUCUUAUUAGUUUAUGUGGACGACAUCAUCCUUACCAGCUCUCCCAAUGCUCCACCACUAGCUCUUCUACAUGCUUUAGAUGAGAAUUUGCCAUCAAGGAUCUUGAACCUAUUCUCUAUUUUCUAGGCAUUGAGGUACAAUCUACCUCCAACGAGCUUCAUCUACGUCAAGCCAAGUUCACUUAUGAGAUUUUGGAUUGUGCAAAGAUGCCUACUGCUCAUGCUGUGUCCACCCCACGCACCACCUUUGAGUUGUUGUCCAUUCAUCAAGGGGAGCCAUUACCUAAUCCUUAGCUCUACCGCAACACUGUCAGUGCCCUUCAAUAUUGAAGUCUAACCCAGCUGACAUUGCAUACUUAGUGAAACACAAUGAGUGUCGAGCUCAAAAAUUGAAAUUGAAUACAACCCAUAUUAAUUAUGUUAUACAAUUACAUUUUCCAUUCAAUUGGAAUUAGAAUUUUAAAACAUGGCUAGUGUUGGGCUCAAAAAUCGAAAGGGUGGAUAGCCUUGUGUCUUUUAAAAAAUAGAUUAGCCCGCAAUUCUUGUCCCGCAGUCAAUGUGGCAAAAAGUUCUCGGGGGUGUUCUCAUUCACAAGUCAUCAGUCUGAAUUCUAUAAGAGAUACAAGUUUGAAAACUGCAACAACUGCUUUAAAUUUUGCUUUAUCUUCGCUUUGUCCCCCGUUGCUCAUCUUCACUUCACUCAAUCUCUACUAGAUUAGCUCACCGCCAUGGCGCCGUAAGAGUUUGCCUCCCUAGUUUGAAUAAUAAUUCCAACUAGGUUAAAAAAAAGCCCAACCCAAAAACCCUAUCAAAUCUUUUUUAUCCACAAAUAACUUCGAUUGAAAACCUUUGCCGAUAAAAUUCAAACUUCGAGAAACAAAUGAAGUUUAAAAUAGUUUUCCUGAUGCACAGACAUGAUAAAUUACAACACUUCCUUUUGGUAUUGCCUGGGGAUAUGCAAUCCUUGGUUUAGAAAAUUAUAUAGAGUCAAAUCUGUGUUAUGGUUAGCACGUUUUUCAUAAAAAGGAAAGCAAGUAGCAUUAGAGUCAUUAGCGAUUCUUCGCCAGGUAAUGACUAUUGAAACGAAAGCAACCCAUUUAAUAUGGUCAAUAAUUUAGUUGAACUACCUUUUCAACAUAUCUUUCGUGUCAGCAAUUUUUAUGCUAGUUAAACGCGAAUUAAUAAGUUUUCCGAGGAUCAAGUAAAGAUCGGCUACUGUAUCGCAUUAAGCUUUCGUUUCCCCCCACGUGAUCUGGGAAAUUGGCCAUGGGACGAGAGCCAAGUGAGAUAAAAAGCAGCGAAUCUGUUCUCGAAAGAAAAGGGAUUCUCGCUGUACAAGAAAGGGCAAACUCAGAACCUGCCGCCAUCAAAAUCGCCAGCUCAUGCUUCCAUCAACACGCUAUCAUCAUGUCCCACAAUUUAAAGAUCUUGCCUUUUUCAACGCUUUACACUUCCAAAAAAUAUAUAAUAUUCGCCCCGCAAACUUUGGUAAUCGGGAAAAAGGUAUUUUAACUUAAAAAAGAAUUAAAAGGAUAGAUCGUGCCUAAAGACACUUAUUAAGUUACCACGAUUAAAAUGUGGUUAAUUUCAAUGCUUUUAUUUUCUUACCGACAUAUGAUAAAUACUUAUAAGGUUAACCAUUCUUAAUACGUAUUUACUUAAAAAAGACACAAAGAUCGCACUAAACACACGGUAAACGAAGCAUAUCCAUGAGCAACAGUUUGGGAAGAUGUUGCUCCUUCAUCGUAAUCCAAAACAAACCAUAUCAAGAAGAAGAAGAUAGGAGAAGCCUAGUUUAAGUCGGAAUCUCUAAAAAUCUCUAAAAUAGGUGCAAAUUGAAAGAGAAAAUAAUAUCGGAUCCCAAUCCAAUAGGAGAAGACUAGUGAAGUCGGAAUCUCUAAAAUAGGUGCAAAUUGAAAGAGAAAAAAAUAUCGGAUCCCGAUCCAAAUCGUUAAUUACUCGACUAGAGUACCGCAAAAGUCCCCAUCAGCAAAAUCACACUCGCCAACAGACCCACAUUGCCCCGACCCGCCCUCACUCCGCUCUUGCUCGGUGCCGGAGCAGGGGACGAACUCGACGAGUCCAGCUGAAGCUUCCCCGUCGACUCCUUGUUGGCCGCAACAAGCGGGUGGAUGCUUGGUUGGUUCCCGCUGACGGCGCCACCGACCUGCCAGACCUGGUUCACGCUUGACGCCUUCUCCGGCACCUGAACCGUCGCAAAGAUCCGCAUCGUCCCAUUCACCUCGUCGGCGCUCAGGUCCCACACGUUGAAGGAGAGCCUCGACUCGACGACCGAGUGAUAGCCGGAGAUAUUGUAGGUCUUGGGGACGACGGAGCCGUUGAGCCUGAGCGCCAUCAGGGCCUGCGAUCCGACCAUGCCGGUUUUGGUGGGGUUGAUGGCCCAGGCGACCCAGGCGCCGCCGGUGGCCGGGGCGGCGACGUAGGCUAUGGAGAGGGAGGAGUUGGAGGCGUUGUAGGUGUAGUGGAGGAAGGCGCCGAGCUGGGGGAGGUCGGUGCAGUUGUUGUAGGUGUUGUUGAACUUCUGGGACGUGCAGGUGAGGGAGAGGGCCGGAGGGAGGAGGAGAGAGAGGAGAGAGAGGAGCGAGAGGGAGAGGAGAAGAGAGAGAGAGGCCAUUGUUGUUGCAGGGGGAGAGGGAGAGGUACUCUGUGCCUGUGUGGUUGUGGAUACGGGAUGGUUAUAAAGAGAGCGUG
rnacentral:lncRNA from 1 species